AUUACAUGGGCAUUGGGCCAAUUUUCCAUUAAACCAUUCCCAAGCUUCAAACAAUGGCUCUCCAUUUAUUUGCUAAAAAUUCACAAUCUCAUCCUGUUUUU
rnacentral:snoRNA from 1 species